rnacentral:rRNA from 1 species
AUGGUGACUGCAGUUGAGGCGACGGCGGUGCCAUUGCAAGCAUCCAACAAAUGUAAGUUCCAGAUCAUCGACGUGGACCAAGAUCCACAAGGGAGCACAGACGUCGAUGAUGCGGGGAGUGUCGAUCACAUCGGCCGCCUCCCGGACGCCGUACUCUGCAGUAUCCUCUCUCUUCUCCCCACCAAGGAAGGUGCCCGCACGCAGGUCAUCUCUCGCCGGUGGCGUCCGCUCUGGCGCUCAGCUCCUCUCAACCUCGUUGUGGACGAAGAACUCAACAGCAGCAACAACAGUUUGGUCAACUUGAUUUCAAAGAGGGACGACUUGAUUUCAAAGAUCCUCUCUGUGCAUCCUGGCCCCGCACGCCGCUUCUCGCUCUGCCUCUCUAAUAGCAACUAUCAUGGCAAGAUGAAAGGCUGGCUUAGUUCCCAAGCCUUGGACAAGCUACGGGAGUUUCAGCUCAUCCCCAAGCACUGGUUUGACGUCAGGGAUACGUUCUACCUGCUGCCAUCGUCCGUCUACCGCUUCGCGCCCACGCUCCGUGUGGCCAAAUUUGGCGGCUGCAGUUUCUCCGACUUGAUUGUGAAGCUGUCGCUCAAGUUUCCGUGCCUCAAGCAGCUCACCCUGGAUAGAGUCGCCAUCUCGGAGGACGCUCUCCAGAGCAUGCUCUCUGGCUGCUAUGCCUUGGAAAGCCUUGAGCUAAAAAAAAAUUCUGGCUUUCGUCGCCUCUGCAUCAGCUCCCAAACUCUUAAGAGUGUAGGCUUUUGCACUAACUGGUGUACAGAAAGUGUCCCUUUGCAAGAGUUGGUCAUCGAGGAUGCCCCGUGCCUUGAGAGAUUGCUACCACUUGAUCCACAGAAUAUGAUUGCUGUUGGCUUGACAACCAAAAUGCACAGCGUGAGGGUGUUGGUUCUUGACUACCUUAAUUUGGAUACAGUGGUUAACUUCCUCAAGUCCUUCCCCUGCUUGGAGAGGCUGUAUGUCUUUUUCCAGUCAAGGAUGAGUUAUAUUAACCCCCAGGAGUAUGACCCACCGGAACCGAUUGAAUGCCUUGAGCUGCAUCUCAAAGAAGUACUGUUGAAGAAUUAUGAUGGCACCAUCCCUUUGUGUAUUGACUUCGCCAAGUUCUUUGUUUUGAAUGCGAAAGUGCUAAAGGAAAUGAAAAUCACAUUGCCUUACCACCGGCAGUACAACUGGUUUGCUAAUCAACACCGGCUGCUGCGGACCAAAGAUAGGAUUUCUCAAGAUGCUCGAAUUGAACUGAAAUGCGGAACUAAUGUUUAUUUCACAGACAACAGGAACACCCAUGAUUUGUCAAUGACUGAUCCUUUUGACGUGCCCUCCAGAGGAUGCAAAAAGUGUAGUGGAUCCCCAUUUUGA